GACGAACGCUGGCGGCGUGCUUAACACAUGCAAGUCGAGCGAGGCCCUCCUUCGGGAGGUGUCCUAGCGGCGAACGGGUGAGUAACACGUGGGCAACCUGCCCUCAGCUCUGGGAUAACCCCAAGAAAUUGGGGCUAAUACCGGAUACGACCGCUGACCGCAUGGUCUGGUGGUGGAAAGAUUUAUCGGCUGAGGAUGGGCCCGCGGCCUAUCAGCUUGUUGGUGGGGUAGUGGCCUACCAAGGCGACGACGGGUAGCCGGCCUGAGAGGGUGACCGGCCACACUGGGACUGAGACACGGCCCAGACUCCUACGGGAGGCAGCAGUGGGGAAUAUUGCGCAAUGGGCGGAAGCCUGACGCAGCGACGCCGCGUGGGGGAUGACGGCCUUCGGGUUGUAAAGCACUUUCAGUAGGGAGGAAGCGUUGUGUGCUGAUAGUACACAGCGUUGACGUUACCUACAGAAGAAGCACCGGCUAACUC
rnacentral:rRNA from 1 species